rnacentral:snRNA from 1 species
GCAAUGCAGUACAUAGACUGAAAUUAAACCAACCCACAGAAGAUUGGCAUGGCUCCUGGGCAAGAAUGUCAGGCACUUUUAUGAAACAUUCCAAAUUUUU